CCUCGAUCAGCAACCACCGCGUGGACCCUGCGCUGCAAAUCGGAACCAGGCGCUUCUUGCUAUUGGCCGAGGUUUCAUGAACUCCUGCUAUGAUUGGCAAGAGCAUUAACACGUCUGGUUGGGUUUGUUCCAUUCUGAUUGGCUAUCUAACUAACGGGAGCGCUACCUCCCUUGGUCCAGGCCACUUAUCUAGGGAAGCGGCUCUCUGCGCAUAGCAACCACAGCGCAGGUAGCAUCUCUGGCCUCACCCGGUCGCCUCCUACUACUGGCAGUGUCCGAUUAGCUCCGCUAUGACGGUUAAAGGUCUGAUCCAACCAUCGAGGUCUCAAACUAGAGUGACAACUGACAACGGCUUGCCGAUCAGUCCCAUUCUUAUAGGCCACCUAAAGGGCACGCGUUCUGCACUUCCGACGUUCAACGACAGCGCUGGUCCCCCGGCGCGGUUCCCGAAAGGACAGACCACCCAAUUGCUCCUGCUAUUGGCUGUGUCCUCGCUGGCCUCCGCCCCUGAUUGGCAGGAAGCCCGCUCAUAGGGGCAGCACCGUGGUCCUGCUUUCAUUGGCUUUCUGACUAGCAGGCGCGAAGCUCCAGGCCACUCCACUUUAUCAUCCCGGUCCAUGUGUCCUGGGAAAGGGCCCAGGACUGGCUGGUUUGUCUCCAUAGCAGCGGGCCAGUGAAAAAAGGCCUAAGCAGGCUGUCCUUGAGGAUGUGUUGUGGAGGGCUGAGGGCACCUGCUGUGUAAUAGAAAUUGAGCACUGCAACACCAAUGGCUGGCAAGGACAUGGCUGCUGUGCUAGCGCUUUUUCCGUGGACUCACACAGGAAGGAAAACCUUGGUUGCAAAUACCUUUAAUUGCAGCGACUUGAGAGGUUAGAAGGAUUUCUGAGAAUUCAACUCUUGUCUCUAGUAUAAUAAAUAAUAAUAAUAAAUAAUAACGGAACUGAGUAUGGUGACUCACGCUGCAAUAUCAGUACUUGGAAGUCAAGGCCAGCUUCAGCUUCAUAACAUUGUGAGUCCAAAUUGGGUUACAUGAGACUGCUAAAAACAAACGCUAAAAAUGAAAAAAAUUAAAUAACCACAGAUGAGAAAAGAGAAAACCCCACUCCCAAACAGGGCUCCUCUUCUCCAUCUGACCUGCCCACACAUGCGUACGCGCAAAGCUGUGGCUUUAUCAGAUGCCUCCUAUUUGUUUAAAUUAGCCAUUCAAAAAUAAGUGGAUGGAGAGUACACCACCAAAAGGCUCAAGCCCUCCUUUUGAACUGGAUUUCUGAAUAUCUUCUCCCCUGGCAGGGAAUCUGUGUUUUGCUGUAUGUGACUUCAAUAAAGCUUGGCUGACUGCCG
rnacentral:lncRNA from 1 species